GGGUUGUGAGGUUAAGCGACUAAGCGUACACGGUGGAUGCCCUGGCAGUCAGAGGCGAUGAAGGACGUGCUAAUCUGCGAUAAGCGUCGGUAAGGUGAUAUGAACCGUUAUAACCGGCGAUUUCCGAAUGGGGAAACCCAGUGUGAUUCGUCACACUAUCAUUAACUGAAUCCAUAGGUUAAUGAGGCGAACCGGGGGAACUGAAACAUCUAAGUACCCCGAGGAAAAGAAAUCAACCGAGAUUCCCCCAGUAGCGGCGAGCGAACGGGGAGCAGCCCAGAGCCUGAAUCAGUGUGUGUGUUAGUGGAAGCGUCUGGAAAGGCGCGCGAUACAGGGUGACAGCCCCGUACACAAAAAUGCACAUGCUGUGAGCUCGAUGAGUAGGGCGGGACACGUGGUAUCCUGUCUGAAUAUGGGGGGACCAUCCUCCAAGGCUAAAUACUCCUGACUGACCGAUAGUGAACCAGUACCGUGAGGGAAAGGCGAAAAGAACCCCGGCGAGGGGAGUGAAAAAGAACCUGAAACCGUGUACGUACAAGCAGUGGGAGCACGCUUAGGCGUGUGACUGCGUACCUUUUGUAUAAUGGGUCAGCGACUUAUAUUCUGUAGCAAGGUUAACCGAAUAGGGGAGCCGAAGGGAAACCGAGUCUUAACUGGGCGUUAAGUUGCAGGGUAUAGACCCGAAACCCGGUGAUCUAGCCAUGGGCAGGUUGAAGGUUGGGUAACACUAACUGGAGGACCGAACCGACUAAUGUUGAAAAAUUAGCGGAUGACUUGUGGCUGGGGGUGAAAGGCCAAUCAAACCGGGAGAUAGCUGGUUCUCCCCGAAAGCUAUUUAGGUAGCGCCUCGUGAAUUCAUCUCCGGGGGUAGAGCACUGUUUCGGCAAGGGGGUCAUCCCGACUUACCAACCCGAUGCAAACUGCGAAUACCGGAGAAUGUUAUCACGGGAGACACACGGCGGGUGCUAACGUCCGUCGUGAAGAGGGAAACAACCCAGACCGCCAGCUAAGGUCCCAAAGUCAUGGUUAAGUGGGAAACGAUGUGGGAAGGCCCAGACAGCCAGGAUGUUGGCUUAGAAGCAGCCAUCAUUUAAAGAAAGCGUAAUAGCUCACUGGUCGAGUCGGCCUGCGCGGAAGAUGUAACGGGGCUAAACCAUGCACCGAAGCUGCGGCAGCGACGCUGAUGCGUUGUUGGGUAGGGGAGCGUUCUGUAAGCCUGCGAAGGUGUGCUGUGAGGCAUGCUGGAGGUAUCAGAAGUGCGAAUGCUGACAUAAGUAACGAUAAAGCGGGUGAAAAGCCCGCUCGCCGGAAGACCAAGGGUUCCUGUCCAACGUUAAUCGGGGCAGGGUGAGUCGACCCCUAAGGCGAGGCCGAAAGGCGUAGUCGAUGGGAAACAGGUUAAUAUUCCUGUACUUGGUGUUACUGCGAAGGGGGGACGGAGAAGGCUAUGUUGGCCGGGCGACGGUUGUCCCGGUUUAAGCGUGUAGGCUGGUUUUCCAGGCAAAUCCGGAAAAUCAAGGCUGAGGCGUGAUGACGAGGCACUACGGUGCUGAAGCAACAAAUGCCCUGCUUCCAGGAAAAGCCUCUAAGCAUCAGGUAACAUCAAAUCGUACCCCAAACCGACACAGGUGGUCAGGUAGAGAAUACCAAGGCGCUUGAGAGAACUCGGGUGAAGGAACUAGGCAAAAUGGUGCCGUAACUUCGGGAGAAGGCACGCUGAUAUGUAGGUGAAGUCCCUUGCGGAUGGAGCUGAAAUCAGUCGAAGAUACCAGCUGGCUGCAACUGUUUAUUAAAAACACAGCACUGUGCAAACACGAAAGUGGACGUAUACGGUGUGACGCCUGCCCGGUGCCGGAAGGUUAAUUGAUGGGGUUAGCGCAAGCGAAGCUCUUGAUCGAAGCCCCGGUAAACGGCGGCCGUAACUAUAACGGUCCUAAGGUAGCGAAAUUCCUUGUCGGGUAAGUUCCGACCUGCACGAAUGGCGUAAUGAUGGCCAGGCUGUCUCCACCCGAGACUCAGUGAAAUUGAACUCGCUGUGAAGAUGCAGUGUACCCGCGGCAAGACGGAAAGACCCCGUGAACCUUUACUAUAGCUUGACACUGAACAUUGAGCCUUGAUGUGUAGGAUAGGUGGGAGGCUUGGAAGUGUGGACGCCAGUCUGCAUGGAGCCGACCUUGAAAUACCACCCUUUAAUGUUUGAUGUUCUAACGUUGACCCGUAAUCCGGGUUGCGGACAGUGUCUGGUGGGUAGUUUGACUGGGGCGGUCUCCUCCUAAAGAGUAACGGAGGAGCACGAAGGUUGGCUAAUCCUGGUCGGACAUCAGGAGGUUAGUGCAAUGGCAUAAGCCAGCUUGACUGCGAGCGUGACGGCGCGAGCAGGUGCGAAAGCAGGUCAUAGUGAUCCGGUGGUUCUGAAUGGAAGGGCCAUCGCUCAACGGAUAAAAGGUACUCCGGGGAUAACAGGCUGAUACCGCCCAAGAGUUCAUAUCGACGGCGGUGUUUGGCACCUCGAUGUCGGCUCAUCACAUCCUGGGGCUGAAGUAGGUCCCAAGGGUAUGGCUGUUCGCCAUUUAAAGUGGUACGCGAGCUGGGUUUAGAACGUCGUGAGACAGUUCGGUCCCUAUCUGCCGUGGGCGCUGGAGAACUGAGGGGGGCUGCUCCUAGUACGAGAGGACCGGAGUGGACGCAUCACUGGUGUUCGGGUUGUCAUGCCAAUGGCACUGCCCGGUAGCUAAAUGCGGAAGAGAUAAGUGCUGAAAGCAUCUAAGCACGAAACUUGCCCCGAGAUGAGUUCUCCCUGACCCUUUAAGGGUCCUGAAGGAACGUUGAAGACGACGACGUUGAUAGGCCGGGUGUGUAAGCGCAGCGAUGCGUUGAGCUAACCGGUACUAAUGAACCGUGAGGCUUAACCUUACAACGCCGAAG
rnacentral:rRNA from 1 species